UACGAAGGAUGCAAGCGUUAUCCGGAUUCAUUGGGUUUAAAGGGUGCGUAGGCGGCCCAGUAAGUCAGUGGUGAAAGCUCUCCGCUUAACGGAGAAACUGCCAUUGAUACUGCCGGGCUCGAGUACAGAUGAUGUUGGCGGAAUAUGACAUGUAGCGGUGAAAUGCAUAGAUAUGUCAUAGAACACCGAUUGCGAAGGCAGCUGACAAAACUGUAACUGACGCUGAGGCACGAAAGCGUGGGGAUCAAACAGG
rnacentral:rRNA from 1 species